rnacentral:rRNA from 1 species
AGUAGUUUGAUCAUGGCUCGAGGACGAACGCUGGCGGCGUGCCUAACACAUGCAAGUCGAACGGAGUUGAGGGGCUUGCUCCUCAACUUAGUGGCGGACGGGUGAGUAACGCGUGAGUAACCUGCCUCUGAGAGGGGAAUAACGUUCUGAAAAGAACGCUAAUACCGCAUAACACAUAUUUGCCGCAUGACAGAUAUGUCAAAGAUUUUAUCGCUCAGAGAUGGACUCGCGUCCGAUUAGUUAGUUGGUGAGGUAACGGCUCACCAAGACCGCGAUCGGUAGCCGGACUGAGAGGUUGAACGGCCACAUUGGGACUGAGACACGGCCCAGACUCC